rnacentral:rRNA from 1 species
UUCCCUUCGGGGACAUUGGUGACAGGUGGUGCAUGGUUGUCGUCAGCUCGUGUCGUGAGAUGUUGGGUUAAGUCCCGCAACGAGCGCAACCCUUGUCUUUAGUUGCCAUCAUUAAGUUGGGCACUCUAGAGAGACUGCCAGGGAUAACCUGGAGGAAGGUGGGGAUGACGUCAAAUCAUCAUGCCCCUUAUGCUUAGGGCUACACACGUGCUACAAUGGGUAGUACAGAGGGUUGCCAAGCCGUAAGGUGGAGCUAAUCCCUUAAAGCUACUCUCAGUUCGGAUUGUAGGCUGAAACUCGCCUACAUGAAGCUGGAGUUACUAGUAAUCGCAGAUCAGAAUGCUGCGGUGAAUGCGUUCCCGGGUCUUGUACACACCGCCCGUCACACCACGGGAGUUGGAGACGCCCGAAGCCGAUUAUCUAACCU